GUGAGGAAUAUUGGACAAUGGGCGCAAGCCUGAUCCAGCCAUGCCGCGUGCAGGAAGACGCAUCUAUGGUGUGUAAACUGCUUUUGUACGGGAAGAAACACUCCCUCGUGAGGGAGCUUGACGGUACCGUAAGAAUAAGGAUCGGCUAACUCCGUGCCAGCAGCCGCGGUAAUACGGAGGAUCCAAGCGUUAUCCGGAAUCAUUGGGUUUAAAGGGUCCGUAGGCGGUUUAAUAAGUCAGUGGUGAAAGCCCAUCGCUCAACGAUGGAACGGCCAUUGAUACUGUUAGACUUGAAUUACAAGGAAGUAACUAGAAUAUGUAGUGUAGCGGUGAAAUGCUUAGAUAUUACAUGGAAUACCAAUUGCGAAGGCAGGUUACUACUUGUGGAUUGACGCUGAUGGACGAAAGCGUGGGGAGCAAACAGGAUUAGAAACCCUAGUAGUCC
rnacentral:rRNA from 1 species